rnacentral:misc_RNA from 1 species
CUACAAUUGAGCAUGCACAGACAUGUGUGCUCGAUCGGAAGAUUUACGUCUACAAUCCCCAUGAUUUGGAACAGAAAAGUGGAGUGGUCUUUAAUGUUGUAGGACAAGUGAUGGGGCUACUUUCAGAUCACCAGUACGUUCCCAUAGAUAAGCUAUCUGAAAGUGAAAAGGCUGAUGCUCAUAACUUGGUUAUCUCUGCGUACAAACAUUGGG